ensembl:lncRNA
AUGCACCGAGCCCUCCCCGGCCCUGCUGGUGUCCAGCUCCUGCCGGAGGGCCAAGCGGGCGUGUGGCGACGUGGGCACCCCUGGGGCGCUGCCCCCCACGCUCUGCCCCGACCAUGGCCCCCAGCCCCCCCGGAAUUCCGGCAGGAAGGCGGCCAGCAAGGAGAAAAGUGGCAAAGCCCUGGAGGGGCUGUCGGGGGGCCGGGGGCCGGCGCUGGGGGACUCGGCCGGGCGGCGCGGAGGGUCCCUGCUCAGCUGGGCCGCCGUGGCACAGAGCAAGCGGAAGGCGGCGAACAAGGGCUCGGCCGUGCUCCAGAACCUCUUCCAGGUCAACGGCAGCGCCAAGAAGCUGCGGGCCAAGGAGACGCUGUUCCCGCUGCACCACCACCACCACCACCUCGCCGCCCCCGUCUUCGGCAACGCCUUCGGCGCCGACUCCUUCGGCCGCAUCGCCAGCUCCUACGGCUCCUUCGGCGCCGGCGCCGGGCUGGUGCUGCCCGCGGCCCAGAAGCUGCUGCGCUCCAAGAAAGCCGAGCGGCUGGAGGCCGAGGUGGGCAGGAGCGGGCGCAGGAAGGCGGCGGGCGGCGAGUUCCUGGUCAAGCUGGACCACGAAGGGGUGACGUCCCCCAAGAACAAGACGUGCAAGGCGCUGCUGUUGGCCGAGAAGGACUUCGGGGCCAGGCUGGAGCGGCCGCUGGGCAGCCACGGCUACGGGCACGCCGGGCUGGGCGGGCGGGAGCGCCGGGGCCGCGCGGCCGCGCACCCGCUGCCCGUGGGGCUGGCGCUGCGCAAGUACUCGGGGCACGGGGACUUCGCCCUGAACUGCGACAGCGACUGCCACAGCUCCUACUCGGACAUGGACGAGGACGAGGACGCGGCCGGGCUCGGCGCCGACGUCCCCUCGCGCUUCAUGACGCGCCUUUCCGUGUCCUCCUCUUCCUCGGGCUCCUCCACCUCGUCCAGCUCCGGCUCCAUCUCCACGUCCAGCCUGUGCUCCUCGGACAACGAGGACUCCUCCUACAGCUCGGAGGACGAGGACUCGGCGCUGCUGCUGCAGACCUGCCUGUCGCACCCGGUGCCGGCGCUGCUGGCGCAGCCGGACGCGCUGCGGCCCAAGGGCGCCGCGCCCCAGCGCUGCUUCCUGUCCAAGGCGGCCGCCGCCGGCCCCAAGGCCAAGCUCAAGCGCAAGGAUCCCCUCAGCUUCGCCAAAGCCAAAGAGUUCUCCCGGCGGCAGCGCCUGCCCUCGGUGGAAAACCGGCCAAAGAUCUCCGCCUUCCUGCCCGCCCGCCAGCUCUGGAGGUGGUCGGGGAACCCCACGCAGCGGCGCGGCAUGAAGGGCAAGGCGCGGAAGCUCUUCUACAAGGCCAUCGUGCGGGGCAAGGAGACGCUGCGCGUGGGCGACUGCGCCGUGUUCCUGUCGGCCGGGCGGCCCAACCUGCCCUACAUCGGCCGCAUCGAGAGCAUGUGGGAGUCCUGGGCCAGCAACAUGGUGGUCAAGGUCAAGUGGUUCUACCACCCCGAGGAGACCAAGCUGGGCAAGCGCCAGAGCGACGGCAAGAACGCGCUGUACCAGUCGUGCCACGAGGACGAGAACGACGUGCAGACCAUCUCGCACAAGUGCCAGGUGGUGGGGCGGGAGCACUACGAGCAGCUGACGCGCGGCCGCCGCUGCCAGGACCGCCAGGACCUCUAUUACCUGGCGGGCACCUACGACCCCACCACGGGGCGCCUGGUGACCGCCGACGGGGUGCCCAUCCUGUGCUGACCCCGGGGUGCCACCCUGUGCUGACCCCGGGGUGCCACCCUGUUCUGACCCCACCCAGCUCUGAUGCAAAGGGUGGCACCCACACACUGUGGGGACAUUGGGGGCACAUCAGGGGGACGUGUGGGGGGGCGGCUCCCCUACAAGCCAUAACUUUCCCUAGUACCUCUGACUGUUUGCCAGCAGGUGAAGCAGAAAUCAGGUGUGUUGUUCUAUUUAUUUUGCCCUGUAAAUAUUGUAUUUCUUCCGGGAAGUUUUAUGGAAAAGCGAGAAAGGAAAAAAAAACAAA